rnacentral:rRNA from 1 species
UACAGAGGGUGCAAGCGUUAAUCGGAAUUACUGGGCGUAAAGCGCGCGUAGGUGGUUUGUUAAGUUGGAUGUGAAAUCCCCGGGCUCAACCUGGGAACUGCAUUCAAGACUGACAAGCUAGAGUAUGGUAGAGGGUGGUGGAAUUUCCCGUGUAGCGGUGAAAUGCGUAGAUAUAGGAAGGAACACCAGUGGCGAAGGCGACCACCUGGACUGAUACUGACACUGAGGUGCGAAAGCGUGGGGAGCAAACAGG